GGCUCAAUGGUCUAGUGGUAUGAUUCUCGCUUUGGGUUCUUGUCAACUAUGCGAGAGGCCCCGGGUUCGAAUCCCGGUUGAGCCC
rnacentral:tRNA from 4 species